AGGAUGAACGCUGGCGGCGUGCUUAACACAUGCAAGUCGAACGAUGAACCUCACUUGUGGGGGGAUUAGUGGCGAACGGGUGAGUAACACGUGAGUAACCUGCCCUUAACUCUGGGAUAAGCCUGGGAAACUGGGUCUAAUACCGGAUAUGACCUGUCACCGCAUGGUGGCGGGUGGAAAGAUUUUUUGGUUUGGAUGGACUCGCGGCCUAUCAGCUUGUUGGUGAGGUAAUGGCUCACCAAGGCGACGACGGGUAGCCGGCCUGAGAGGGUGACCGGCCACACUGGGACUGAGACACGGCCCAGACUCCUACGGGAGGCAGCAGUGGGGAAUAUUGCACAAUGGGCGCAAGCCUGAUGCAGCGACGCCGCGUGAGGAUGAAGGCCUUCGGGUUGUAAACCUCUUUCAGUAGGAGAAGCCGUGAGGUGACGGUACCUGCAGAAGAAGCGCCGGCUAACGUACGUGCCAGCAGCCGC
rnacentral:rRNA from 1 species